UACGUAGGGGGCAAGCGUUGUCCGGAUUUAUUGGGCGUAAAGCGCUCGUAGGUGGUUCAUUGCGUCGUGCGUGAAAGACCCCGGCUCAACUGGGGAGGGUCGUGCGAAACGGGUGAACUAGAGGCCAGUAGGGGGAUGCGGAAUUCCGGGUGUAGUGGUGGAAUGCGUAGAGAUCCGGAAGAACACCGGUGGCGAAGGCGGCCUGCUGGGACAGUGCUGACGCUGAGGCGCGACAGCGUGGGGAGCAAACAGG
rnacentral:rRNA from 1 species